UACGUAGGUGGCGAGCGUUAUCCGGAAUGAUUGGGCGUAAAGGGUGCGUAGGCGGCCUGCUAAGUCUGGAGUGAAAGGUACCGGCUCAACCGGUACAGGCUCUGGAAACUGCCGUGCUAGAGAGGAAGAGAAGUAGGCGGAAUGCGCAGUGUAGCGGUGAAAUGCUUAGAUAUUGCGCAGAACUCCGAUUGCGAAGGCAGCCUACCGGCUUCUGUCUGACGCUGAGGCACGAAAGCGUGGGUAUCGAACAGG
rnacentral:rRNA from 1 species